GACGAACCUGGCGAACGUUGUUCGGAAUCACUGGGCUUAAAGGGCGUGUAGGCGGGCUGUCAAGUCUGGGGUGAAAUCCCACGGCUCAACCGUGGAACUGCCUCAGAUACUGACGGGCUCGAGGGAGGUAGGGGCGAGCGGAACGGGUGGUGGAGCGGUGAAAUGCGUUGAUAUCGCGCGGAACUCCGGUGGCGAAAGCGGCUUGCUGGACCUUUUCUGACGCUGAGGCGCGAAAGCUAGGGGAGCAAACGGG
rnacentral:rRNA from 1 species